AGUCGGGCGGUAACAGGGNGAAGCUUGCUUCUCNGCUGACGAGCGGCGGANNGNUGAGUAAUGUAUGGGGAUCUGCCUGAUGGCGGGGGAUAACUACUGGAAACGGUAGCUAAUACCGCAUAAUGUCUUCGGACCAAAGCGGGGGACCUCCGGGCCUCGCGCCAUCAGAUGAACCCAUAUGGGAUUAGCUAGUAGGUNAGGUAACGGCUUACCUAGGCGACGAUCCCUAGCUGGUCUGAGAGGAUGAUCAGCCACACUGGGACUGANACACGGCCCAGACUCCUACGGNAGGCANCAGUGGGGANUAUUGCACAAUGGGNGCAAGCCUGAUGCANCCNUGCCNCGUGUAUGAANAANGNCUUCGGGUUGUAAAGUACUUUCAGUCGGGA
rnacentral:rRNA from 1 species